rnacentral:snRNA from 1 species
GGAUAUGAGGAGGGUGAUCUGGCUGUAACAUCUGUCACCUUAUUGACCAGCAGGGUUGAUUCAGUUGAUCUGGCUGGCUAGGCAGGUGUCCUCUUUUCCCCCGACUGCUCCCUGUAUGUCCCUCCUGAAGGUGCAUGCUCGGCUAAAGAGGACAACUACCCUUGAUAGAGGAGGACCAUUUCUUUGGUCAAGGUUGUACGAGUAACUGUUCACCUGCUAGAACCUCCAAACAAGCUCUAAAAAUGAAAAAAUAAAGGGCUAGAGAUGUAGCUCAGGGCAAAGGCCUU